AGGCCGCCUGCUCGUGAUCGUCUUCUCACCCUUCACGCGGCAGGCCGAAGAGGCCCCCGCGCGUUCGGAUCGCGCGGGGGCCUCUU
rnacentral:ncRNA from 1 species